GACGAACGCUGGCGGCGUGCCUAAUACAUGCAAGUCGAACGAACCGCGACUAGGUGCUUGCACUUGGUCAAGGUGAGUGGCGAACGGGUGAGUAACACGUGGGUAACCUACCUCAUAGUGGGGGAUAACAGUCGGAAACGACUGCUAAUACCGCAUAGGACAUGGGAUCACAUGAUUCUGUGAGGAAAGGUGGCGCAAGCUAUCGCUAAGAGAUGGACCCGCGGUGCAUUAGCUAGUUGGUAGGGUAACGGCCUACCAAGGCGAUGAUGCAUAGCCGACCUGAGAGGGUGAUCGGCCACAUUGGGACUGAGACACGUCCCAAACUCCUACGGGAGGCAGCAGUAGGGAAUCUUCCGCAAUGGACGCAAGUCUGACGGAGCAACGCCGCGUGAGUGAAGAAGGUCUUCGGAUCGUAAAGCUCUGUUGUUAGAGAAGAACAGCGCAUAGAGUAACUGUUAUGCGUGUGACGGUAUCUAACCAGAAAGCCACGGCUAACUACGUG
rnacentral:rRNA from 1 species